AAAUGUUACAGAAAGAGGGAAACUAUAUGGCCAAUCCAGAAGGCCUGACGGUUGAAGAAGCAGAAAGGGUUGCCGAAGAGCUGAACAAACAAGGUAGAUUAAGAGGAAGAACUUCAUACGAAAAAGUCAAAAAAAUAAUCAAUAUGUGGAAAAUAUCCUAUACAUUGGCUCAGCCGUUGCCAUGAACAAGAAUUCAGUAAUACUGAUGUGCAUGGUAAAGUUCUUAACUUAUGAUGCCGUAAAAGUUCGAAUUUUCGGCAUUAUUUCUUGAUCAAUCAGUGCCAAUCUCAAAACUGCACCAAAUUGCUGCUUAUCAGUUCAACUAAACAAAGUUCAAACCAGGACAAUCCAGCUUUGACAUUUCGUUAUUUUACUGCCGUAUCGUGAUCAGCCGUUGCGGUUUUGUUGCUCGAUCUCGACAAAUAGUUGAUCUAUAUAUUUAUGUCGAAACCUACAAAACCUCCGGAUAGCUGUAUAAGUCAGGACAUGCGCAGUGCUACCUCACAGACUGAAAAAAAAAAAAAAAAGAUUUAAAGUUGCCAAGCUGACCUUAAGCUUCGAUGGAGUCAAUGGACCCCGAGUGCAACAACGUACCACAUAUCUUAAGGACAAUCAUAUAAGAUAUAAUGAUAAUUGUUUUAGACAAAAUUCAAUCAGCUCAAAUAUUUUUUUCCAGCAAGUCCAAGCAGAAGCCAGAUAUGUCCAAUGAAGAAACCUAAAUGAAGUCUGUCUGAUAUAAGAUCUAGAUUUCCAGGUUUGUUAGCUCAAAUAAUUUUGCGUUCUCGAUUGUUUGUAGUGCUGAAUGUGGAUUCUUUUCUCUUCUUUUUUAAGUCAAUUCUUUUGAGAAAUUGUAUCAUUAUUAAAGCAGGUCUCUUCCUUCAAACUGUUAUUUUAACUCUGAAAUAGAAAUAAGUGGUUACAAUAGAGAACUUUAGCAUGAAGUUCCUGCUAUGCACCACAAACCUCAAACUCAGUACAGUUCAAUGUCAGGCGUUUUCCAUCACACCUUCGACAUUUAGCAAGGCUUCAUAACGAAGAUGUUACUGGAAGAGCCGCCAUAUUGAAUUUCAUUGAUGCCCAGUGUUUCUAGCGGUAGUAGAGCAGAGCUUAACCUGAUGCUAAAUUUCUCUAAUGCUAUAGCUUAAUUCCUCGACAGCCCAUUCGAUUAUAAAAAGAUGAGCUCUAAAUCGAAAAAGGUCGAUCGUCUUUCCUUGAACGUCGUACAGGAACUCGAACAAUAGGUGACUUAAUGUCAACGAAGCAGUCUGGCUACUCAUUGGUAAGGUUGGCGACUGAGGGGUUUAGUGAAAGUUUUUGGCAUUUUUCCUUGCAUUUCUCCUUAUUAUUUAACUUUUUCAGGGUAUUUUAGUUUAUUCAUUUUUCGUUUGGAAGGUUUGCCUGUAGCUAUCAGGAUUGGUUGAAAUGGUUGACGGAGUUGUGUCUUUGUACAUUAGCAAAAAACAAAAACACAAUCAAGUUAUUUCAUGGUGGGGCUGGAUUGUUUAGCAUUGAUUUUUUGUGAGCAAUGAGAAAUGCCAAAACCAUAUUUUCAAACACUUGGGAUCUUGGAUACGCUAGCUAGUAAUAUCAACAGCAUUGCUAACAAUGAUUUGUAUUCGAGGUAUCUAACGGUGGUAUCUCAUAGGUGGUAUUUUGCAAACUAUUUUCGCAGUGACAGCUGACCUGUACAUACUGUACAAGUACUUACACCAAUGUUGCGUGAUCACAGCGCAUGCGCRCGCUUUUAAACAAGAAAAAUAUACAUUAUUAUAAUUUACUUUUAAGUGACUAGAUGAAGACGAAAAACGACUAGUCAUAAAUCGCACACUGUUAUCAAUCAUUUGCAUUUUUGGGUUUGAAACUGUUUUGUUGGUGCACUAGCUUUUUACGUUAAGCUAUCACGUGACAAUACACUCCACACACGCCCUCUAAGUCAUACCUACAGACUCGGCUAAGAUGUUGGUUUUAUUAAGAGGGAAAUCAAGCUUAGAGACUGGAAAAAAUUCUUCAACCCUUGUGGCAAGAAAUAGAACGAAACAAGAAAAUAUUAACUGGUAACCAUUGUGCGUGAUGUUUUCUUGACUUUAACUUGCAUAAGACACUAUGACAUAUUGUAUGAUUUUUUGCACGCUGCGUAGUCUUAAGAUCUUGCUGUCAGAAAGGAAAUUGUGCAUUUGGCAUGAAAGACAAAUCAAAGUUGUUGCAGAUUAUUUCGAGUACUAUACUAAUUAUUUUAAAUUUGUGCCUUCUUGUAAGUUAGACAUAAUAUUGACACUGCAAUCUAAAGUUGUGUUUGUAGUGUGAGAAAAGAUUGGCAGUUCAAGGACUGGACACAACAAGAGGCAACAUCACUCUUGGGCCAACAGAAGGUUUGUUUAUCGUUUAUUGAUAGUCUUUAUUAACCCAACAACCAAAGGAAAAUAAACAAAAUAAAUAAUGAUAAUACUGAUGAUGAAUAAACAUAUAAUUGUGCCAUGCCUCAUAAAAACGUAUUACAAAAGAAAUCGCUAGGCUUUGGGACAUAAAAAGCCAAAAGAAAAAAAAUUGAAAGAAAGGUUAGUUGAUGUUUGAAAAAUCCUCAUAUAUUCGC